CAGGUGUCCUUCGGGACUUGAUAGGGAAUCCCGUGUGAAACGGGAACGGACCCGCCGCCGUGAGUCCUCCCCCGCAUGAAGGGGAAAACGGUUCCCCCUGCGCGCCACUGAAGCUAUGCUUCGGGAAGGCCGGGAACCGAGGGACAAGUCGGAAGACCUGCCUGACAAG
rnacentral:ncRNA from 1 species